UACAGAGACUGCAAGCGUUAUUCGGAUUCACUGGGCGUAAAGGGUGCGCAGGCGGCGUCGCAAGUCAGGCGUGAAAUCCCCGGGCUUAACCUGGGAACUGCACUUGAAACUACGAUGCUGGAGUAUGGCAGAGGGAGGUGGAAUUCCACGUGUAGCGGUGAAAUGCGUAGAGAUGUGGAGGAACACCGAUGGCGAAGGCAGCCUCCUGGGCCAAUACUGACGCUCAUGCACGAAAGCGUGGGGAGCAAACAGG
rnacentral:rRNA from 1 species